rnacentral:rRNA from 1 species
UAAAGAAAGCGUAAUAGCUCACUGGUCGAGUCGGCCUGCGCGGAAGAUGUAACGGGGCUAAACCAUGCACCGAAGCUGCGGCAGCGACACUGUGUGUUGUUGGGUAGGGGAGCGUGCUGUAAGUCUGUGAAGGUGGCGUGUGAGGGUUGCUGGAGGUAUCAGAAGUGCGAAUGCUGACAUAAGUAACGAUAAAGCGGGUGAAAAGCCCGCUCGCCGGAAGACCAA